GUGAUUUCAGUCCUGGGCAGAGAAACCAGGCGGACCGACGGGCACGAACCAAAGCUGCCGAGUGGCGGGCAGCGCCACCUUGUGGAGCGUCCCGGGAUCCCUCGGUCCGCGGUGCUCUGGGAAUCUGUGCGCCUGUGUGGGACUUGGUGACGCAAGCGGGGACAUUGAGGAGUGCCUCCCUUUGUUUUAUAUAAAUUUUUUAAAAAAAGAUUUCCUACUGUCCCUAUCCAGGUCAAAUCUUCUUGGCCUCUGUUUGUCUCUCGGAGUCUAUUGCAUAGCCCUGAGCAAUUAACGUAAUGUGAUUAAAGCUCAGAGGGGAAAGGUCUUACCAAAUGUUUGGGGGAGAAUCUCGCCUGCGUACAGAACACGUGGCUUCCUACUUUAUACACGAGGGCACUAGACUGGCCCUCGCGUGAUGUUUCUGGGGUCCCACCGCGCCCCGUCGCUUUGUCCCGGGCCUCUGGACUAAUUGUUGUGGUUCUGCUCGGGUCUCGCCCACCCCAGGCUUCCCCAGGGCCCACCAGACACCUGCUGCUCUCUGGCACGUUUACAGUUUUGUUCCCUGGCUUUAUUUUAGAUGGUCGAAUUAACCAAUCACCCCCAUUGCCAUUUCUGGAAGGACGCCCAGUACCUCCCGCGUGUCUGCGCGCUCCUCCCCCGGGAAGCCGGUUUCGUUCUGACCUUGAGCGGCGGGUCUGAGACGGGCUGAGUGUCUUUGCCAUUUCUGGCCUUUAUUCUCGGGAGCCCAGGCUCGGGCCUGCCCGGGUGUCCCUGCCUGCUGUGUCCUCUGCAGCUGCUGUUCCCCCACUUUCCUGGGCGUGCUGGGGGCCGAGGUCUCAGACUGAGCCCUCGCCCGGGCGCUCGCGCAUCAUGAAGGGGCCUGCGAACCGGUCAGCCCCGCGGCCUGUGAGCGGGUCAGCCCCUACUGGGCCGCGCGCUCUCAGGUCCGGCUGCGUUGAAGCGUCUUCCCGGCGCCGCGUGACUGGGACUGAGCGCCCGCUCAGCGCAUUCAGUUUCUGAGCACCUUUGCCCGCUGUUUAUUUUCCAUAAAUGCGCUCUGUGGAGUGGAACGUUCCCCGACGGCUUCUCCUGGACGGCGCAGCUCCUCCGGCUGGAAUCUCCCACUUCCCACCGCAGACUCUGUGCCCCGGAGACACGGAACGCCGGUCACUGUCCCGGCGCCACGCUCUUCCCCAGGGUGAAAAGGUGUCUCUAGACCUCACGUCCCGGGAGGCUGCCCCCGUGUGGGCCGUCGCAGCCGGAGCGUCUCGGGUGCUCAGUCUGCAAUCGCGCUCCAGCGUCACUGGAAUCUGCAGCUGUCCGUGGGUUGCCCGUCUGCCAGGCAAAUGCCACUCUUGAGUGGAACU